CCUUCCCUUAUCUGAGUGACGUACGAGUGAUAGGUGCAUUCACUCAAAAGCUCCCCUUGCGGAGAAUGGAUAAGUCCCUGAAUCUCCCUAUAUCGGGCAAGAAUGGAAUUGGGACGAAAUCCAUCAUCCACCAAUGCCGCCUCCACAUCUCGUUCCACUAUGACUUGGGCGUCGAUAAUGGACACCAUUCGUUGUAGGUCCUCAUUCCCACCCAAAUUAAGGAGUAGGUAUCGGUUAUAAAGGAGGCUCCUUCGGGUGUCAUCUGAGAUAAGAGGCUGGGCCAAUUGGGGGAUAACAACCGGUUGUGGUACCGGUUGAGGUACCGGCGGAGCUUCUGGGGGAGUAACCGGUUCUUCCGACAAUUGCACCGGACUAGGCGGGGGCAAGAAUGUGUUUCUUCCAUCGCAAUAGCAG
rnacentral:lncRNA from 1 species